CCCGCUGAGUUUAAGCAUAUCAAUAAGCGGAGG
rnacentral:rRNA from 1 species